CUCCGGGACCUUUUUUGUUGAUGUACUGACUAUCCUGAGCAUCACUUGGGCAGGUGUUAUUUCAACCAGUCGAUUCUUGUAUUAAAUAAAUUUAAUAAAAUUUUCAUUUAUAUAUUUCCUAUUAUCCCUAUUUCAUGAAAAUUAACAAAAAUGUGCAAUUUUGGCCAUCCUGUAUUUAAAUAAUUGGACUGGUAAGUAGUUAAUUAUUUUCUAGGUUUGUUUUUUUUUACUUAUUCAUUUAUUUAUGUUAAAAUAAAUUUACUUGAGUUCCUGUAAUAUAAGCUAUUAUGAUUGUUUUUCAUAGUAUGGGGUUGUUCUUCCACAGAGCCACACCUCUGUUUAGUUUUUAUUUUGAGAUAGGGUCUCAUUGAGUUGCUUUGGCUGGUCUGGAACAUUCUUCUGCCUCAGCCUCAUAAAUAGGUAAGAUUAUAGGCAUGAAUAACUAUGCUCAGCUUUACUAACAUUUUAUAACAUUUUUCAUUAUUUUCAUUAAGCCAAUGAGAAUAAAAAUAGAAACAUGAAAAAUACAUUGAGUUUGUAGCACUAGAUUUAUUGAUAAGGGCAUAUAUUUUCCUGGGAAAUUAUAUCAUUACACAAUGAUCAAAGGAAAUCAUGGUGUCAAAAUAUCAUAUUAUUAUGUGUGCAACAUGACAAAGAUGUGGAGGAAGAACUUGUGAUGGGGUUUCUGGACCUCGAAUUUAAUGCAGUUUAUUAAGCAUUCUUUUAUAUACCAGGUAAAAGGCAAGAAAUCUACCAUUGAACUACCAGUGCCUCUUUGUAUACCAGAUGAAAAAAACCCUUAGUCACUGGCUCUUAAGGUUAGUUUGGGGUGGUGAAUCAGCAAUGAAAAAUAAUCAUUUGGUUUGUUUCCUAAUUGAGGCCAACAGUAGCAACAAAUACUGAAGUCAGAUGAAAUGUCUGAAUGUCAUUUAUCCUUUUCUUCCAGGUUUCUGUCCUCAUAUUGGUACUUGCCCCUAUAAGUGAGGGGAAAGCCCAGAGCUGCUAUAGAGCAGAGAAAGCUUAUGUGAGGUAACUGAUUAAGAUAAUUACUGCAGAGCCUGAGACUAGGGGCAUGAGAGAAUUUUUAGCACACUUGGAAAAUAAGGAAGAUUGUAAGAAGACUUUUCAGGAAUGAAAUAAUCCUGAUUCCUUUAGACUGUCAUCAUGGUGUCUGUUUGCUGGCUCUUUAAUCAUUUUCACUGAGUUCUUCUCCAAGUCUCCUCAUCGCAAUUCCAAACAGAAGCUCCAGAGUGGACUAAGAUUGCUGAGUGCAAUGGGAACACAACGAGACUCUUAAACGUGUUAUUCAUUGCCACAGCUAAGUUGCUGUACAUAAUCUUUUUUAUGUGGUCUGAUUUCAGUAACUGGGUUUAGAGAAAUUACCAAAACAAAGGUAAAUUACCAGUUCAUACUGAUUUUUAAAAAAAUUCUGAAAGAAGAAA